rnacentral:rRNA from 1 species
UACGUAGGGGGCAAGCGUUGUCCGGAAUUAUUGGGCGUAAAGCGCGCGCAGGCGGCUUAUUAAGUCUGAUGUGAAAGCCCACGGCUCAACCGUGGAGGGCCAUUGGAAACUGGUAGGCUUGAGUGCAGGAGAGGAGAGCGGAAUUCCCGGUGUAGCGGUGAAAUGCAUAGAUAUCGGGAGGAACAUCCGUGGCGAAGGCGGCCACCUGGACCAACAUUGACGCUGAGGCACGAAAGCGUGGGGAGCAAACAGG